rnacentral:rRNA from 1 species
AAAAAGCUCGUAGUUGGAUUUCUGUUGAGGAUGACCGUUCCGCUCUUUGAGCGCGUAUCUGGUUCAGCCUUGGCAUCCUCUUGGGGAACGCUACUGUGCUUGAUUGCAUGGGGCGGUAUUCAAGACUUUUACUUUGAGGAAAUUAGAGUGUUCACUGCAAGCGUUAGCAAUUGAAUACAUUAGCAUGGAAUAAUAAUAUAGGACCUUGGUACUAUUUUGUUGGUUUCUAGAACUAAGGUAAUGAUUAAUAGGGACAAUUGGGGGCAUUCGUAUUAACGCGUCAGAGGUGGAAUUCUUAGAUUGCGUUACGACGAACUACUGCGAAAGCAUUUGCCAAGGAUGUUUUCAUUGAUCAAGAACGAAAGUAUGGGGAUCGAAGACGCUUAGAUACCGUCGUAGUCUAUACCAUAAACUAUGCCAACUAGAGAUUGGAGGUCGUUCUCUUUAUGACUCCUUCAGCACCUUAUGAGAAAUCAAAGUCUUUGGGUUCCGGGGGGAGUAU